AAGGAAUAUUGGUCAAUGGACGCAAGUCUGAACCAGCCAUGCCGCGUGAAGGAUGAAGGUCCUCUGGAUUGUAAACUUCUUUUAUCUGGGACGAAAACGGGAUUUUUAUCUCAAUUGACGGUACCAGAGGAAUAAGCACCGGCUAACUCCGUGCCAGCAGCCGCGGUAAUACGGAGGGUGCGAGCGUUAUCCGGAUUUACUGGGUUUAAAGGGUGCGUAGGUGGGCUUAUAAGUCAGUGGUGAAAUCUCCGAGCUUAACUUGGAAACUGCCGUUGAUACUAUAGGUCUUGAAUUAUCUGGAGGUAAGCGGAAUAUGUCAUGUAGCGGUGAAAUGCUUAGAUAUGACAUAGAACACCAAUUGCGAAGGCAGCUUACUACAUAUAAAUCGACGCUGAGGCACGAAAGCGUGGGGAUCAAACA
rnacentral:rRNA from 1 species